rnacentral:rRNA from 1 species
GACGAACGCUGGCGGCGUGCUUGACACAUGCAAGUCGAACGGAAAGGCCUGCUUUCCCUUGUGGAUUGCGGGUACUCGAGUGGCGAACGGGUGAGUAACACGUGAGUGAUCUGCCCCCAACUUGGGUAUAAGCCUGGGAAACUGGGUCUAAUUCCCGAUAGGACUGCAGGGUGGUGCCUGUGGUGGAAAACGAUUUUCUAGUGGUUGGGGAUGAGCUCGCGGCCUAUCAGCUUGUUGGUGGGGUAAUGGCCUACCAAGGCGGCGACGGGUAGCCGGCCUGAGAGGGUGGACGGCCACAUUGGGACUGAGAUACGGCCCAGACUCCUACGGGAGGCAGCAGUGGGGAAUAGUGCACAAUGGGCGGAAGCCUGAGGCAGCGACGCCGCGUGGGGGAUGACGGCCUUCGGGUUGUAAACUCCUUUCGACCGCGAGGAAGCCACCUGGUUGGAAGGGUGGUGACGGUAGUGGUAGAAGAAGCACCGGCUAACUACGUG